rnacentral:rRNA from 1 species
GACGAACGCUGGCGGCGUGCUUAACACAUGCAAGUCGAACGGAAAGGCCCUGCUUUUGUGGGGUGCUCGAGUGGCGAACGGGUGAGUAACACGUGAGUAACCUGCCCUUGACUGUGGGAUAACUUCAGGAAACUGGGGCUAAUACCGGAUAGGAGCUCCUGCUGCAUGGUGGGGGUUGGAAAGUUUCGGCGGUUGGGGUUGGACUCGCGGCUUAUCAGCUUGUUGGUGGGGUAGUGGCUUACCAAGGCUUUGACGGGUAGCCGGCCUGCGAGGGUGACCGGCCACAUUGGGCCUGAGAUACGGCCCAGACUCCUACGGGAGGCAGCAGUGGGGAAUAUUGCACAAUGGGCGGAAGCCUGAUGCAGCAACGCCGCGUGCGGGAUGACGGCCUUCGGGUUGUAAACCGCUUUCGCCUGUGACGAAGCGUGAGUGACGGUAAUGGGUAAAGAAGCACCGGCUAACUACGUG